UACGAAGGGGGCUAGCGUUGCUCGGAAUCACUGGGCGUAAAGGGUGCGUAGGCGGAUCGUUAAGUCGGGGGUGAAAUCCUGGAGCUCAACUCCAGAACUGCCUUCGAUACUGGCGAUCUCGAGUCCGGAAGAGGUGAGUGGAACUCCUAGUGUAGAGGUGGAAUUCGUAGAUAUUAGGAAGAACACCAGUGGCGAAGGCGGCUCACUGGUCCGGUACUGACGCUGAGGUGCGAAAGCGUGGGGGAGCAAAACAGG
rnacentral:rRNA from 1 species